rnacentral:rRNA from 1 species
UACGAAGGGGGCUAGCGUUGCUCGGAAUCACUGGGCGUAAAGGGUGCGUAGGCGGGUCUUUAAGUCAGGGGUGAAAUCCUGGAGCUCAACUCCAGAACUGCCUUUGAUACUGAGGAUCUUGAGUUCGGGAGAGGUGAGUGGAACUGCGAGUGUAGAGGUGAAAUUCGUAGAUAUUCGGAGGAACACCAGUGGCGAAGGCGGCUCACUGGCUCGAUACUGACGCUGAGGUGCGAAAGCGUGGGGAGCAAACAGG